CCCCAGGAGCAGCGGAGAGGUGAACCAAUGGCGGUCUUGAAGCCCAAGAAGCCCCACCGAACCCCCGAGGACCUCGAGCUCCUCAAAUCCGACGUCGCCGCGCCUCCCUCGGCCUCGGGCCCCCCUCCGCCGCCGGAUUCGAUGACUCUGACUUCCGGAAAACCGGCCCCUUCCGGCCCCCCCAAACCGUGGAUCCCAGACUAUCCGCUUCCGAAAUGAUCGAUGGUGGCGAGAAGAAGAACCAGAAGGACGACUCCGGUUCCAGGUCCAAACCCAUGCCCAAGCCCCAUCCGUUGCAAAUCGAUCCGUUUGGGAACGCCAAAGAUGACAACAAGAAGAACCUCCCCAAGUUGCCGUUGAUGAAGGCGAGCGAGCUGUCGGGGCUGCGGUACGUGGACGCCGACGAGCUGGAGGGGAAGGUCCUGGGGCCGGAUGGGAGGAAGAACGUGCCGGUUUUGGGGGUCGAGGAGCUGAAGAGGCUGGCUGCGAAAAAGAAGGAGGUCGCCGAGAGGUUGCUGCAGCAGCGCACGCGAUACUAUGAUUCUCAAAGUGAUUCUUGAGGACUAAGAGCGGGGAUAUGAGGCUUCUCGAAGUGACGGCGAGGUUGAGGACCUCCGCGGAUAAGGUGUCGGCAUUCACGUGCUUGGUGGAGGACAAUUCAAUUGCCAAUAUGACGGCACUUGAUGCCCUACUAUGUUACUGCCAGGUCGCAAGUUGAAAAGCAUUUUCUAGCAUCCCUUGGAUACUUUGCCUGAAACAAAAGAUGAUUUCUCUCUUUUACUUUUUUGGUAUUGGGAGGAAUGCUUGAAGAGGUGCAUCUUGUUAGAACACAUCCUCGAAAUUUAAAUAAGGUUACCACACACCAUAUGCCUCAUGGUCAGCGAAACCGUCUCGAAUUGCCCGGUUCAGAGCAUACUGAGCUGUACUGGCUAUGGGAUAGUUCCGGCAACUAAAAUGAAAAACCGGCGACGGAGGGGGAGGAGAAGGAGAGAGAGAGAGAGAGAGAGAGAGAGAGAGAGAGAGAGAGAGAGGAAGGAAGAGAGAGGGAGGGUGGUGGCUGGCGGUGGCCUUCGGUUCUCCUGUUUCGAACGACUGGCCGGUGGAGGGUCGUGAAGGGGCGGACGAAACAGGAAAAUUGGAGGCGGAACUCCGCCGCCCCUCCACGCAGCUCGUAAGCCUCCGCUGAAUGUCCGCCACCCUCCUCUCUCUCUCUCUCUCCCUCUCCCCCUUCUCUCUCUCCUUUCCUCUCACCCAUUCUCCCUCUCCCCCUUCCCCUCUACUAUGUCGGUAAGGGCUUGGCAUGGAACAACAUGGGGGCAUACCGAUCCGUGCUGCCAGGCAAUCAGUCUGGGUUCCGGUUCCAGCAUAGCAAUGCUUGCCUCAGCCAAUAUUAGGUGUUACUUAAUGUUCUACCUUGAGAUCUUAAACAUCACUGGAUUUAAUUAUGCGUCUUUAUUAAAAUACUAUUACUGAUUCAUUUUUAUCAUCCCUUCUAAUCAAAGGCAAUGCUCCAUUAUGGUGUGAGCAUCUUCAAAUUUCUUCACAACGCUUAUCCAUUAUCUCUUAGGCCUUCCCCAGUCCAUGACUCUUCAUCCAUUCUCUGAGUACUGCUCAUCCUUCUUGGAGUUUACAUUGCAAUGUUUAAUGGAGAACCCAAGGAAAAAGAAAAACUUCAUCUGCUAAGAUUUGCAAUUUUUUUCUCUGACCUGUGAUGGAAUAUGAUUUUAAAUGUACCAUGAUGCAAGUGUUGGAGAAAGAGGAUAUGAAUAUUUCAUGGUAUGAUUGGAAAGAGUAAAUUACAUCUCUAAUUUACCAUGUUUUGCGAUUAAAUUAGAAGAAUCAACUAAUGAUAUGUAAUUCAUGCCUUAUUUCAGGUCUACUUUAGGAGCCAAAAUUUAUAUAUUUCUUUUAUUUUUUCUAUUUGAGCUUUAUUACAUUCGAACAUGUUGAUUGUAGAUAUGAACGGUUUGUUGUUGCACUCGAGGAUGCACUGAAGGGCAUGCUACCUGAUCUGAAAAACAAAGCAAUGAAGGUCAGUACCCAAUCCUCUUUUCUUUCAAAACCCUGCCCUGUAUCAGCAAACUAUUAGUUGAUAUGGGGUUACGACUUUUCAGACCAAGGUGGUAUGUGAUUUGUACACCCCUGUACCAUGGUAAUUUAAACCUUGCUGUAUAUACAUCACCAAUGCCUGGCCACUUGUUGGAGUAGCAUAAAGUUACAUGGUUUAACUAAAAAAAAAUCAUUUCCUCCUUUUGCGAUUAAUUUGUCAGUUUUAUUUUUCAAUUGUCUUUUAUACCACGCACACAUAUAUGUACAACUAUCAUGUGCCUAUGGAUAAAACUACAUCGUUUGAUUUAAAAAAAUGUUUUCUGUUUAGCUUGCCAUUUUGUUUUCUAGUCCUCCUUGUAGCCUUCUUAGGUAUACUCAUUCAUAAAACGCAAUGUCAAGGAAGUCAGUGCAAAAUUUUGUAAUGAUUUGGUUGGGACCUGGGAGAUGUGCAUGUAAAAAAUUCUUUGUUAUUGAAUUUCUUCAAUUUUGUUUAGUAAAGCAUUAGCAUAUUGAGAUACUUUUAUGUGGAAUUUAUAGGGUAAAUAUUUGUUGAUUUGCUUAAAAGGAUGAGAAAUCAAGUUUGGCGCAUUACUAAUGCAUGCACAAGUACUUACUCUUUGGAAUCAAGCAUGUCAUGUUCAUAGAUUUUGUUUUUUGGAGGACAAUGCUCUUUUUUUUAUUAGUUUAGGUAGUGAGAUAUGUCUGGCUGGGAAGUUUCUUUUCACCUUGGCUGUUAUUACCACUAUUUAUGAAUCUUUAGUGGAUGGGUGAUUUUUGACAUUCUUUUUUAUACAAAAAGAUGCCCUAUUAUUUACUUUGAUGGUGAUUAUUUGAUGGAUAUGUCAGGAACACCAUAUCUUUCUCAUGGGACAGCAUAUCUCUUUAACAAGAGGAAAUAAUUGAUCAUGUUUUCAUUGCUAUUCUUUCCAGACAGUUUACACCCUCUUGAAAAGUAAAUCAGAACAAGUGCGCAGGUUGCUCACCGCUCUUGUUAACAAACUUGGUGAUCCUGAGAGGAAAGUGGCAUCUAAUGCUUCAUAUCACUUGUCUUGCUUGUUAUCUGCACAUCCUAAUAUGAAGGUAGAGGUGUGGCCAAGUUGGGAGGCAAUAUCAUUGUUGUUUCUGGAAGUUGUAUGCAUGUGUAUAGAUUUUGUGCACCAGGCAUUCCCAAACACGUCUGCUGAUAAGUUGCAGAAAAGGAUUCCUAGAGCCAUCACGAUUCAAGAUAAAUGUUUUAAAAUAUUUUCUAGUAUAAGGUAGGUAAAUCCUAGUCAUUCUUUUACAGCCAGCCUUUGUGAAAGAAGAUAAUCCUGGGCCAUUUGCAUUAAAAUAGUAUUUGCAAAUGUCACAAAAAGAUAGGAAAAGAAAAUAGUAUUGGUAUUAAAGAUAGAGUAACAGUAAAGUACAGAGUGUGCUUUAACAGCUAUCAUUUUAUAAUUAUCAUUAUACCAUGGAAGUUAUUUGAACUUUGAUCUUUUUCUUCUGACCAAAGAGUAGUUUUUAAAUUGGAAAAUCCAUAUCUACAAUCAUGUAUUUUAUUACAUGCUGCAAUUUUAUUACUCUCUUUCACCAUGGUGUAAUAAUAGUUGUUAUAGCAAUCUAUCAUACAGCUUCAAAGACAGGUUCUUGUUUAGGGACAUGGGUGUCGCAAAAUGUUUUAGUAGCUUCGUAUAUGUAGUUUUCUAUAUUGUUAUUACUAUUAUCUUUUUGUAGUGUAGUUUAGUCUCACUUAGUUUAAGGCCGCAUAUUUAGACCCUCGACCGGGAUGAGCAGGCCCUCGGUCGUGCCUAUAAAUGUCUCAUAUUGGCACUACCGCUGUUUCG